GAUGAACGCUGGCGGCGUGCCUAAUACAUGCAAGUCGAGCGAACAGACGGGGAUCUUGCUCCUCUGACGUUAGCGGCGGACGGGUGAGUAACACGUGUAUAACCUACCUAUAUGACUGGGAUAACUUCGGGAAACCGGCGCUAAUACCGGAUAAUAUAUUGAACCGCAUGGUUCAAUAGUGAAAUACGGUUUUGCUGUCACUUAUAGAUGGAUCCGCGCCGCAUUGGCUGGUUGGUAAGGUACCGGCUUAGCAAGGGGACGAUGCGUAGCCGACGGGAGAGAGUGAUAGGCCGCACGGGAGGUGGGACAGGGACCAGGGUCCUGCGGGAGGCAGCAGUAGGGAAUCGGCGGCAGUGGGGGAAAACAUGGCAGAGCGGGGCGGAGUGAGAGAUGAAGGUCUUCGGAGCGUAAAGCUCUGUUAUUAGGGAAGAACAAAUGUGUAAGUAAAUGUGCACGGAGUGACGGUACCUAGUAAGAAAGCAACGGCUAACUACGUG
rnacentral:rRNA from 1 species